rnacentral:rRNA from 1 species
GAUGAACGCUGGCGGCGUGCCUAAUACAUGCAAGUCGAGCGAACAGACGAGGAGCUUGCUCCUCUGACGUUAGCGGCGGACGGGUGAGUAACACGUGGAUAACCUACCUAUAAGACUGGAAUAACUUCGGGAAACCGGAGCUAAUACCGGAUAAUAUAUUGAACCGCAUGGUUCAAUAGUGAAAGACGGUUUUGCUGUCACUUAUAUAUGGAUCCGCGCCGCAUUAGCUAGUUGGUAAGGUAACGGCUUACCAAGGCAACGAUGCGUAGCCGACCUGAGAGGGUGAUCGGCCACACUGGAACUGAGACACGGUCCAGACUCCUACGGGAGGCAGCAGUAGGGAAUCCUCCGCAAUGGGCGAAAGCCUGACGGAGCAACGCCGCGUGAGUGAUGAAGGUCUUCGGAUCGUAAAACUCUGUUAUUAGGGAAGAACAAAUGUGUAAGUAACUAUGCACGUCUUGACGGUACCUAAUCAGAAAGCCACGGCUAACUACGUG